GCCAAACACGUACUUCCUCUGUGAUACAUCCGGUUUUGUUUUCACUCAUGUCCCGGUAAACGCCCAGUGGUUUUCUAAAUGUAAUGUUUGUAGAAUGUAAAACUCCUGCUGAACAUUUACAAUGUUCAGACGCUUCAAUCUUCUUCUGCUGCUGUUUUGUCUGGUUUAUCACAGCGG